UGUAACUUUAUUUUUUUAGGUUUUAAUAGCCAUUGGUCGUGAUGCAUGUACCAGAAAUAUUGGUUUAGAGACAAUUGGCGUCAAAAUCAAUGAGAAGAAUGGGAAAGUACCUGUAAAUGAUGAAGAACAAACCAAUGUGCCUUAUGUUUACGCUAUUGGUGAUAUCUUGGAAGGAAAACUUGAACUUACUCCAGUUGCCAUUCAAGCAGGAAAACUGCUAGCCCGAAGACUUUAUGGUGGUGGCUCUACAAAGUGUGACUAUAUCAAUGUACCAACGACAGUGUUUACUCCUUUAGAGUACGGCUGCUGUGGAUUAGCUGAAGAGAGAGCCAUAGAACAAUACGGAAAGCAAAACUUGGAGGUGAGAACA